rnacentral:rRNA from 1 species
ACUCAAAUGAAUUGACGGGGACCCGCACAAGCGGUGGAGCGUGUGGUUUAAUUCGACGCUAAGCGAAGAACCUUACCAGGGCUUGACAUCUAGCUGCUUGCUCUAGGAAACUAGAGCGUCCUUCGAGGGUGCUAGACAGGUGCUGCAUGGUCGUCGUCAGCUCGUGUCGUGAGAUGUUGGGUUAAGUCCCGCAACGAGCGCAACCCUUGUCGUGUGUUGUAUUUUUCACGCGAGACUGCCUCGGUCAACGAGGAGGAAGGUGGGGAUGACGUCAGAUCAGCAUGGCCCUUAUGCCCUGGGCGACACACGCGCUACAAUGGCCGGUACAAUGGGACGCGAAAUCGCGAGAUGGAGCUAAUCCCAUCAAAGCCGGUCCCAGUUCGGAUUGGAGUCUGCAACUCGACUCCAUGAAGUCGGAAUCGCUAGUAAACGCGGAUCAGCCACGCCGCGUUGAAUACGUUCUCGGGUCUUGUACACACCGCCCGU